rnacentral:rRNA from 1 species
UACGUAGGGUGCGAGCGUUAAUCGGAAUUACUGGGCGUAAAGCGUGCGCAGGCGGCUUCGCAAGUCAGGCGUGAAAUCCCCGGGCUUAACCUGGGAAUGGCGUCUGAAACUACGGAGCUGGAGUGUGGCAGAGGGAGGUAGAAUUCCACGUGUAGCGGUGAAAUGCGUAGAUAUGUGGAGGAAUACCGAUGCGAAGGCAGCCUCCUGGGCCGAACACUGACGCUCAUGCACGAAAGCGUGGGGAGCAAACAGG